UGAAUACGAGAUGCUACGGCGUCGAAGCAGUCUAUGUCAUACUUCCAAGAAAAGCUCGCACUGUCAUAAACAAAUAAUGCCUGUACCAUAACCGACACAGGUGGGUAGGUAGAGUAUACUAAGGGGCGCGAGAUAACUCUCUCUAAGGAACUCGGCAAAAUGACUCCGUAACUUCGGGAGAAGGAGUGCCUUAUUUAUAAGGUUGCAAUAACAAGAUCCAAGCAACUGUUUAUCAAAAACACAGGUCUCCGCUAAGUCGUAAGACGAUGUAUGGGGGCUGACGCCUGCCCAGUGCCAGAAGGUUAAAGAAGUUGGUUAGCAUUCGCGAAGCUGAUAACUGAAGCCUUGGUGAACGGCGGCCGUAACUAUAACGGUCCUAAGGUAGCGAAAUUCCUUGUCGGGUAAGUUCCGACCCGCACGAAAGGCGUAAUGAUUUGGAUACUGUCUCGGAGAGGGGCUCGGUGAAAUAGACUUGUCUGUGAAGAUGCGGACUACCUGCACCAGGACAGAAAGACCCUAUGAAGCUUUACUGUAACUUGAGAUUGAAAUUGGACUUUACUUGCGCAGUAUAGGUGGGAGGCGUUGAUAAUAUUCUUGCGGGAUUAUUUGAGCCAUCAGUGAGAUACCACUCUUGUAAUGUUAGAUUUCUAACUUUGUAUCAUUAUCUGGUCAAAGGACAGUUUCAGGCGGGCAGUUUGACUGGGGCGGUCGCCUCCUAAACGGUAACGGAGGCGCACAAAGGUUUCCUCUGAACGGGUAGAAAUCGUAUCUAGAGUGUAAAGGCAUAAGGAAGCUUGACUGUGAGACCUACAAGUCGAGCAGGGACGAAAGUCGGUCUUAGUGAUCUGACGGUGCUGAGUGGAAAGGCCGUUACUCAACGGAUAAAAGUUACUCUAGGAUAACAGGCUGAUCUCCCCCAAGAGUUCACAUCGACGGGGAGGUUUGGCACCUCGAUGUCGGCUCAUCGCAUCCUGGGGCGGUAGUACGUCCCAAGGGUUGGGCUGUUCGCCCAUGAAAGCGGUACGCGAGCUGGGUUCAGAACGUCGUGAGACAGUUCGGUCCAUAUCCGGUGUAGGCGUUAGAAUAUUGAGAGGAGCCUUCUUUAGUACGAGAGGACCGAGAAGGACAUACCUCUGGUGUACCAGUUAUCGUGCCAACGGUAAACGCUGGGUAGCUAUGUAUGGAGUGGAUAACCGCUGAAAGCAUCUAAGUGGGAAGCCCACCUCAAGAUAAGUAUUCUCA
rnacentral:rRNA from 1 species